UACAGAGGGUGCGAGCGUUGUCCGGAAUCACUGGGCGUAAAGGGCGCGUAGGUGGCGACCCAAGUCUGUGGUGAAAGCUCGACGCUCAACGUCGAGUCGGCCAUAGAUACUGGGUUGCUCGAGCACUGUAGAGGCAGAUGGAAUUCCGGGUGUAGCGGUGGAAUGCGUAGAGAUCCGGAAGAACACCGGUGGCGAAGGCGGUCUGCUGGGCAGUUGCUGACACUGAGGCGCGACAGCGUGGGGAGCAAACAGG
rnacentral:rRNA from 1 species